rnacentral:lncRNA from 1 species
GAUAUCAUUCAUUAAGAUAUAUGAUGAAUCAUUUACAGCAAAAUAUAUACUCGUACACUAAACACCAUUUCAUAUUAAAUUAUAACAUAUUGUGCAUGCUAGAAAGCAACAGGGUUGCUUGAGGACAUACUAGUUUAAUACGGCAAGGUGUGACGUAAUAAAGAGAGACAUUAUUAAAUAAGUGGUAUAUGCUUUAGAUGGAUUAUAAAUUCAGAAACAGCAGAAAUGUGUAACUUCCAUUAAACGUCUGAGUUUGUGGUUUGUGGUGGUAAAAGCCUUGUAUAUAUUGCUGAACUGGUUUGUUGUUUCCACCUGUGAGAGGAUAGAGAUGAACCAGGACAAUUAACCAGAGGGAAUCAGGUGCAAGAUGUAAUGAUAUGAACACAGAAAAUGGUAAAACUUGUCAAAUAGACCACUUUUGAAGAGCAAGCUAUAGGUUGAAGCAUCUCUGGUAGACAACAUGUAUCACGCGUAAGUCAAAGAACAAGAGGACUCCACUAUUUGGACUACCCUAAUGAUGCGAUAAGGUAUCGUUAGGCAUGUUAUUUCCGUAAGCAAGUAAAAUGGUACUACAAGGAGAAGGAAAAUGAACUAUUGUGAGGUUACUAUCUUCACUUUUUCCAGAAAAGUAUUUUGCAGCAUCUGGUUUAGUCUGCUCCCAGGUGAUGAAAGGGCCAAAGUAUACCACGGCGUCAACAAACAUCGACAAAGUAUACCACGGCGUCAACAAACAUCGACAAAGUAUACCACGGCGUCAACAAACAUCGACAAAGUAUACCACGGCGUCAACAAACAUCGACAAUGUAUGCCACGGCGACAACUCACUCCGCCAAAAUAUUGUCAACACAGCAGGAUAAAUAGAUUGAAACAAAAAACUCAAAGAAAGGAGACCAAACAAGAUGAUGACGAAACCAACUGAUCCGAAUAGUAAAGGUUUCCGGCACCAUAUUGGACAUCCCUUGAAACUUAUGUUCUACUUUCGUCUUAAAGCUUGAGAUUGCUCUUCUUUAAACAAGUCACAUUUUACCCUACCCAACACUUGUUUAUCUAUACCAAGUAAUCUUCUACAAGGUAUUUGUACAUAGUUAUCCAUAUGGCGUUGCUCCCCAAAUUCGUGUCUGUGCAAGCUAGGAAUACACCUACUGGUGUCCAUUAUGCUAAGAUAUAAUCAAACUUGCCCAGCGGAGAUUCAGAUCGCUGUACAUUAGCCUGGGUGCAUUAAGAUUUCGAUCAGAACUGGGGUGCUGGGUACUUGUACAGGUACCGAUUAUACCAAGAACCAGCGAUCUACAAGCAGCUCCGCCACUUUCCACACUAUCUCUUAAACAUCUUUAGCGUCAUCACAAAAUUAUGGUUGUUAUGAAUACGUUUAUAAAAACAUAAUUAUUAUUUUGCAUAUAUGUUGCCCAAAUCUUGAAAAAAAUAGCCGUACCAAGGCACAUUUUCCUAAGAACGCUUUAAAGGUAAAAAAAAAAAAAAAGUAAGAUGCAGUCUGUUUCAAACAUUGUUUAUAUAUAUAUAUUUCUUUCUUUGCAAGUAACCGGAUA